rnacentral:rRNA from 1 species
UAAGGAAUAUUGGACAAUGGAGGCAACUCUGAUCCAGCCAUGCCGCGUGAAGGAAUAAGGCCCUAUGGGUUGUAAACUUCUUUUAGACGGGACAAAACCCCUUUACGUGUAAAGGGUUGAUGGUACUGUCAGAAUAAGCAUCGGCUAACUUCGUGCCAGCAGCCGCGGUAAUACGAAGGAUGCAAGCGUUAUCCGGAAUUAUUGGGUUUAAAGGGUGCGUAGGCGGACUAAUAAGUCAGUGGUGAAAGCCUGCAGCUUAACUGCAGAAUUGCCAUUGAUACUGUUAGUCUUGAGUACAGUUGAGGUAGGCGGAAUGUGUCAUGUAGCGGUGAAAUGCUUAGAUAUGACACAGAACACCGAUUGCGAAGGCAGCUUGCUAAGCUGUAACUGACGCUGAGGCACGAAAGCGUGGGGAGC